rnacentral:rRNA from 1 species
GUGCCAGCAGCCGCGGUAAAACGUAGGAUCCAAGCGUUAUCCGAAUUUACUGGGCGUAAAGCGCGUGUAGGCGGUGUGGUAAGUUGGAUGUGAAAGCUCCCGGCUCAACUGGGAGAGGUCGUUCAAUACUGCCGCACUAGAGGACGGUAGAGGGAGGUGGAAUUCCCGGUGUAGUGGUGAAAUGCGUAGAUAUCGGGAGGAACACCAGUGGCGAAGGCGGCCUCCUGGGCCGUUCCUGACGCUCAGACGCGAAAGCUAGGGUAGCAAACGGGAUUAGAAACCCCGGUAGUCC